rnacentral:rRNA from 1 species
CAGGACGAACGCUGGCGGCGUGCCUAACACAUGCAAGUCGAGCGGGAUGUCUGGAAGCUUGCUUCCGGACAUCUAGCGGCGGACGGGUGAGUAACGCGUGAGCAACCUGCCUUUAACAGGGGGAUAACGCAUCGAAAGAUGUGCUAAUACCGCAUAAGACCACGGUUUCACAUGGGACAGGGGUCAAAGGAGCAAUCCGGUUAAAGAUGGGCUCGCGUCCGAUUAGCUAGUUGGUGAGAUAACAGCCCACCAAGGCGACGAUCGGUAGCCGACCUGAGAGGGUGAUCGGCCACAUUGGAACUGAGAUACGGUCCAGACUCCUACGGGAGGCAGCAGUGGGGAAUAUUGGGCAAUGGGCGAAAAAGCCUGACCCAGCAACGCCGCGUGAGGGAAGAAGGGUUUCGGCUCGUAAACCUCUGUCCUGUGGGACGAAGGAAGUGACGGUACCACAGGAGGAAGCCCCGGCUAACUACGUGCCAGCAGCCGC